AGAGUUUGAUCCUGGCUCAGGAUGAACGCUAGCGGUGCGCUUAACACAUGCAAGUCGUGCGAUCGAACCAGACGGAUUUCCCUUCGGGGACUGAAGACUGGUCACGGAGCGGCGAACUGGUGAGUAACACGUAGCUAACCUACCUUCUUGACAGGAAUAACCAUUCGAAAGGGUGGCUAAUGCCUGAUGUUGUGCGGAGUCUAUGACUUCGUUCCAAAGGCGGUCUUGCCGCCGCAAGGAGAGGGGGCUGCGCUCUAUUAGCUUGUUGGUAGGGUAAUGGCCUACCAAGGCGAUAAUGGAUAGCUGGUCUGAGAGGACGAUCAGCCACAUUGGGACUGAGAUACGGCCCAGACUCCUACGGGAGGCAGCAGUGGGGAAUAUUGGACAAUGGACGAAAGUCCGAUCCAGCGACACCGCGUGGGGGAUGAAGGCUUUCGGGUUGUAAACCCCUUUUCUGGGGGAAGAAUAAGGUUGGGAGGAAAUGCCCAUCCGAUGACGGUACCCCAGGAAUAAGCAUCGGCAAACUUCGUGCCAGCAGCCGCGGUAAGACGAGGGAUACAAGCGUUAUCCGGAAUUACUGGGCGUAAAGGGCGUCUAGGCGGUUGGAUAAGUCAUUUGUGAAAUCCCAGGGCUUAACCCUGGAAGGUCUUGUGAUACUGUCCGGCUUGGGUGUAGGAGAGGAGAGCGGAACUCACAGAGUAGCGGUGGAAUGCGUAGAUACUGUGAGGUACCCCGAUGGCGAAGGCAGCUCUCUGGCCUAUUACCGACGCUGAAGCGCGAAAGCGUGGGGAGCAAAGGGGAUUAGAUACCCCCGUAGUCCACGCCGCAAACGAUGUUCACUUGGUGUCGGGAGCCUAUAUAUCUCGGUGCCGGAGCUAACGCGUUAAGUGAACCGCCUGAGGAGUACGGCCGCAAGGCUAAAACUCAAGAGAAUUGACGGGUCCCCGCAC
rnacentral:rRNA from 1 species